AACUCGGAUGAUGAAUAUUGUUCCAGUGUCAUUUAUUUUAAAUGAGAGUUGUCUAAUUUAAACCAUCAAAGAGAUUAAUAUUUUAAAUAAAAGUAGAUAUUUUGCUACAAUGAUUGAUUGUUUAUUUAAUAGAUAAUUCGAACUGAACGGGUUGCCGAUCCCUGUCGAGCAGUAACAACAGAUCGUUUUGUUUACGAGGCACUGCUCCACAUGCUAGAAAGAAUUAUGCGACAAGCAAAAGUAAGAAAGAGAAACCCAACUUCAUGUGUACCACAGCAAGGUGGAACCUAGUAUGACAACCAGAAACAGUACCGUCAGUGCACGAAGAAACUUUGAAGUGUACGGAAAAACAAACACCAUCACAGCAUCUUUCCACGAAAACAUCGACAGUGGUAAAAAACGUUCACCUCACCUUUUUCACCGCUUCGUUUUUCAUCGUUUUCCAUGCACCGUUUAUGUACAGGCAUAAUAAGGGAGGAGUUUGGACAGGGUUUUCAUUCGAAAAAGGGAACAAAUUUGGACUUACGACAUUAGGAGGUACGGGUCACAGAUUCGACUGUCAGAUGAAUAUUCUUUCCUAUCGUUAGAUACUGCCAACGUGAAUAUACUCAAGCAGCAGCAAAUGUACAAACAUUACAGUGACGUGGCCUCAAUGUCGAGAGAUUGGAAAUUGUGUCAACGAAAGUGGUUAAGGUGCUGAUGUUUUGUGUUUGAAGGGACAUAGUGACUUUUAGCCCAUGAACGGUUGAUAAGGAAAUCAGUAAUACAAAUGAAACCAAAUGAAAACCCGACGGCAGUUUGUUGUUGUUGAAAAUGUUUCCGUGAUGUAAAACAAAUAAUGAUUUUUCACUAACGGUUUUGUGCGACCGAAUUAAAAUGUUCUCUUGAUUUGUUUGUUGCAAUCCUUUCUUUUAGUAUUUUGAAGAUAUCGGGAUUAUGGGGACGGCGACUGCCACUUAUACCAUACAAUUUUGCAGGAAUUUUUAUACAUUUUGAACGGUCAAACACCAGAUGCAUUACAAUGUGAAUUUAUAUUUAUAAAUUUAGUUUUCCUAGUAAAGUUGUAGUUGUAGAGGAAUAGCAGAUGACAAAUGCAUUAAAAAAUGACAGUCCAAAAGCAUUUGUAAUGUGUUUUGUUGCAAUUCGUUUCUUGUUUACAUAGUCAUAAUGAAAUCUAGAUUUUUUUUCGGAUAGUUCGGGUAAAGUGUUUUGAUUUCAAUUGAAGAAUUGAAUUGAGCAAAUACGUUCGACGAUCAAUGUAAAGCGUUUAGAUAAUGAACAAAACAACAGUUUAAGAAUGAACUGAAUGGAAAACUAAAAGUAAUGUUGCAGUAUACCUUCACGUGUCCCAUACCUUAAUUAUCAGCAUUAACCCGACGGCGAAAACUGUACAAAAAUCCUAACAUAUUCAUAAUCUGAUUACUUUCCCCAAAUGUCAAUAUUUAAUUAGCUCAAAGAAAGCCGAUCUCACCCAAUACAAACAAUUUUGAUCCAUAAUCCCGACACGUGUUUGUUAUGUUGACGCCUGUCAUAUUUUGGCUAAGGAGAAUUCCAAGGACAACAAACCAUUCUGAUUUUCUUGGCAAAUAAAAUAAUAGCUUUUCAAUCACACCGCUUGCCCACCAAACGAUAACAAUCUGAAUGAAACAUGAGCAACAGAGUCAUCACAUUGGCCCCGAGCCAUUGCCUUCUAGCGGGGUCGAUUCGAGCUAGUGAAAUCGGACAAAUCAUGCCGACCAGUAAAGAGCAGCGUUUGAACUAGAAAAUGAUAAAAAAGUAUUCCCCGUUUUCUACAGUGGAAAUUCAUCCGAGAGAUGUCUAUCUGACCACCGAUGUUACGGAUCGAUUGAGACUAGAACGUCCUUUUUCCAGUCACUCAACCAAAACAUUCGCCCGGGGACCAACUUCAGACUAUGUUAAAAAGGUACUUGAUCAGCUGCUACUUGGGAGGAACACAUUUGGACCACCGUCAGACGAGG